rnacentral:lncRNA from 1 species
AGGUCAUUAAAAAUCAUGAUAAAAAUUAUGAGUAAACUAGACACAUUUUGGGAACUCCCAGAAUUUACGGAUUUAGUUUUCGACUUCGUAUGAUUUUUCUAUAAAUUUUCAAAAACAGUGUAGAAAGGCUGAAAAUUUGUUAACAGCUUGUAAUUUUUACAACACUUUGUAUUAUGUUGAGCAAAGUGUAUAAGGUCAAGUUCUAAGUAUUGAAUGUGAUACGUUGUAAAUUUUAUCAUCAUAAACUGAAAAUAAGUCAUUCAUGAUAAGAUUAUUCAUUCAUUUAGAACAUGUAUAUAUAUAAACUAUAAUAAGCAUAGUUUAAUGGAUUUCAUAAUCCUAACGCUUUUUCAUAAAAGAGUUCUUAUAUAUUACAAACGUUUUGGAUAAAACUAUAAUAGGUAUAGUUUUCGAUACAUCACAUAACACACACGUACGAAAAGGGGUACAUUCAUACAGAAAGGUUUUACACUCCCGCAUAUAACUNAAGGGUACAUUCAUACAGAAAGGUUUUACACUCCCGCAUACAACUUGUAAACU